rnacentral:rRNA from 1 species
UAGGGAAUCUUCCACAAUGGACGCAAGUCUGAUGGAGCAACGCCGCGUGGGUGAAGAAGGGUUUCGGCUCGUAAAGCUCUGUUGUUAAAGAAGAAUGUGGGUAAGAGUAACUGUUUACCCAGUGACGGUAUUUAACCAGAAAGCCACGGCUAGCUACGUGCCAN